rnacentral:rRNA from 1 species
UACGAGGGGGGCAAGCGUUGUUCGGAAUUAUUGGGCGUAAAGGGUGCGUAGGCGGUUUGGUAAGUCUGAUGUGAAAUCUAUGGGCUCAACUCAUAGUCUGCAUCGGAAACUGCCGGGCUUGAGUUCGGGAGAGGUGAGUGGAACUGCGAGUGUAGAGGUGAAAUUCGUAGAUAUUCGCAAGAACACCAGUGGCGAAGGCGGCUCACUGGCCCGAUACUGACGCUGAGGCACGAAAGCGUGGGGAGCAAACAGG